rnacentral:rRNA from 1 species
GUCUAAGGCCACGCCACCCUGAACGUGCCCGAUCUCAUCUGAUCUCGGAAGCUCAGCAGGGUCGGGCCUAGUUAGUACUUGGAUGGGAGACCCACCCAGGAAGACCAGGUGCUGUAGGUG